CUGGCCCAUAGGCCAGGCUGCAUGCCGCUGGAGUGUUUGGGUAGCCGCGCUGGCCGCGGGGUCCCCUGUAUCUGGGGUUUGGUCCAGUGACCAGACCCGUCCCCGUCAUGGGGUUGAGUGGCAGCACUGGGGUUCACCUUACUGCCAAUACCUGCUUCAUUUUAUUGUAUGUGCACUUGUGCCUGAGAGAGCCCUUACCAACCCCUUAGGUGCUCGUUUAAACGAUGUAUCGUCGGGACGACGAUACAUCUUGGGGGGGAAGAAUGUAGUAGGGUAGACUGACUGUUGGCCCUGUGUCUUCCCUCUGGCCUGCCUUGCUAACGAGGGGCGGGGCAAUAACCCUUAAUUGGUUAACUGGCUCUGCAGCCUAUUUAAGAGCUUGGAUGGUUAGCAACAGUGUAGGCUCUGCUGCGAGAAGGUGUGUGCGAGCACACCAGAGCCUUCCACCAGCUGGGUGCCCUGCCUGUCCGGACCACGGCAGGGGUGAUGUUGCCUGCCUCUCCGGACUGCUACAGUUGGUCAGGCUGCUGUCUUGUCUUCCUUUAGUUUUGUUUGAUGUUUGAUUUACUAUUUUGUCUGUUACUUUUGGUUUGAUUGUCUUUGUCCAUUGUCUUUCUUUUGUGAGCAGGCAGAGUGUUAAUGGGGGGGGGGGCCUAGUCACCUGCUGGGGAACUAGAGUGUGUGUACUGAGAGUUGCUUGCUGUGGAGAGUUGCACUACUUAACACUUUCAUACUGGAGAAUUGCUGUGUUUGAUAUAAACUGGUCACCGUUGAUAUUAGCCUGCCCCCUCAGGCCAGCUCUGUCUGUCUCUGUUGAAUGUCUGUCUUUUGUGUUCAAUAAAUUGUUUAUUUAAGGAAUUCAUGUCUCCAAAUAUGCUUUUAAGAACCUGUGCAGCUC